UAAGGAGAUAUAUAACCAUAGGAACAAAGUGGGCACCACACUAAAACAUUUUUCUACUUGUAAUAGCAGCAAUGUAAUCUACCUCUUGACAUGUGACUGUGAUCUCUGGUAUAUCGGAAAAACAACCAGAUCCUUGAGAAUCAGAAUCUCUGAACAUAAAUCCAGAAUCAAAAAUUUAUCUACAGAAUCUCUUUUAUAUUCACACUUCACCCAAUACAAACAUUCAUCUACCUCAUUUAAAUUUUGUGCUCUGGAAUGCAUCUCUCAAAAACCUUUCAUGGACUUGGAAAAACUAUUAUCCCAAAGGGAAAUGUACUGGAUCUUUAAGUUUAAAACCUUUUCCCCUCAGGGACUUAAUGAAUCACUUAAUUUUAGCUGUUUCCUUUAAACCUUCAAGUACUCUUUAAAAACCUUUGAAUGAACCUCCAGAAUUACUCGCAGUUGAAAUCACCACAAGCAGAGUCACUCAGUGAAAGCAUUUAGCACUAUAUAGAAAUUCAUUGUUGCUGAGUUUAACAACUCCUGAAGAAGGGGUUUUUCCCUGAAACAGGGUCAAAAAUACCCGGGACCCCUGUAGACUUGGGACUUUAUUUGGACUUUACUUUUGAAGACUUUUUUGAGAGCGGUGCUCCAUCAUUAUUUUCUUCAAUCCAGUAUACAGCAACAUGACCAACCAUCUGUUUGGAAGAUAUUGACUGUAUCCCUGAAGCCUAUAUGUAUUGGAACCAAUACCAGACUUGAACAACUUGUGUGUUAGAGCUGUUGCUCCUUUUCAUUUUGUCGGGUACGGCCAAAUUGAGCUUUGUACGGGGAACUGUAACAAUAUAUGUCAUUUGGACACA